GUGCCAGCCGCCGCGGUAAUACGUAGGUGGCAAGCGUUGUCCGGAUUUAUUGGGCGUAAAGCGAGCGCAGGCGGUUUUUUAAGUCUGAUGUGAAAGCCUUCGGCUCAACCGAAGAAGUGCAUCGGAAACUGGGAAACUUGAGUGCAGAAGAGGACAGUGGAACUCCAUGUGUAGCGGUGAAAUGCGUAGAUAUAUGGAAGAACACCAGUGGCGAAGGCGGCUGUCUGGUCUGUAACUGACGCUGAGGCUCGAAAGUAUGGGUAGCAAACAGGAUUAGAUACCCUGGCAGUCCAUACCGUAAACGAUGAAUGCUAAGUGUUGGAGGGUUUCCGCCCUUCAGUGCUGCAGCUAACGCAUUAAGCAUUCCGCCUGGGGAGUACGGCCGCAAGGCUGAAACUCAAAGGAAUUGACGGGGGCCCGCACAAGCGGUGGAGCAUGUGGUUUAAUUCGAAGCUACGCGAAGAACCUUACCAGGUCUUGACAUACUAUGCAAAUCUAAGAGAUUAGACGUUCCCUUCGGGGACAUGGAUACAGGUGGUGCAUGGUUGUCGUCAGCUCGUGUCGUGAGAUGUUGGGUUAAGUCCCGCAACGAGCGCAACCCUUAUUAUCAGUUGCCAGCAUUAAGUUGGGCACUCUGGUGAGACUGCCGGUGACAAACCGGAGGAAGGUGGGGAUGACGUCAAAUCAUCAUGCCCCUUAUGACCUGGGCUACACACGUGCUACAAUGGAUGGUACAACGAGUUGCGAACUCGCGAGAGUAAGCUAAUCUCUUAAAGCCAUUCUCAGUUCGGAUUGUAGGCUGCAACUCGCCUACAUGAAGUCGGAAUCGCUAGUAAUCGCGGAUCAGCAUGCCGCGGUGAAUACGUUCCCGGGCCUUGUACACACCGCCCGU
rnacentral:rRNA from 1 species